rnacentral:rRNA from 1 species
GACGAACGCUGGCGGCGUGCUUAACACAUGCAAGUCGAACGGAAAGGCCCUGCUUUUGUGGUUUGCUCGAGUGGCGAACGGGUGAGUAACACGUGAGUAACCUUCCCUUGACUUUGUGAUAACUUCAGGAAACUGGUGCUAAUACCGGAUAGGAGCUCCUGCUGCAUGGUGGGGGUUGGAAAGAUUCGGCGGUUGGGGAUGGACUCGCGGCUUAUCAGCUUGUUGGUGGGGUAGUGGCUUACCAAGGCUUUGACGGGUAGCCGGCCUGAGAGGGUGACCGGCCACAUUGGGACUGAGAUACGGCCCAGACUCCUACGGGAGGCAGCAGUGGGGAAUAUUGCACAAUGGGCGGAAGCCUGAUGCAGCAACGCCGCGUGCGGGAUGACGGCCUUCGGGUUGUAAACCGCUUUCGCCUGUGACGAAGCGUGAGUGACGGUAAUGGGUAAAGAAGCACCGGCUAACUACGUG